GUCCUAGCCAUAAACGAUGGAUACUAGAUGUGGGAUAUCGUAUAUUCCGUGUCAAAGCUAACGCGUUAAGUAUCCCGCCUGGGGAGUACGAUCGCAAGAUUGAAACUUAAAGGAAUUGACGGGGACCCGCACAAGCGGUGGAGCAUGUGGUUUAAUUCGACAGUACGCGAGAAACCUUACCAGGUCUUGACAUUCUAAUGACACAUGCAGAAAUGUGUGUUUCCUUUCCGGACAUUAGGACAGGUGGUGCAUGGCCGUCGU
rnacentral:rRNA from 1 species